CCUACGGGAGGCAGCAGUGGGGGAUAUUGCACAAUGGGGGGAACCCUGAUGCAGCGACGCCGCGUGGGUGAAGAAGCGCCUCGGCGCGUAAAGCCCUGUCAGCAGGGAAGAAAAUGACGGUACCUGAAGAAGAAGCCCCGGCUAACUACGUGCCAGCAGCCGCGGUAAUACGUAGGGGGCAAGCGUUAUCCGGAUUUACUGGGUGGAAAGGGGGCGCAGACGGCGAUGCAAGCCAGGAGUGAAAGGCCGGGGCCCAACCCCGGGACUGCUCUUGGAACUGCGUGGCUGGAGUGCAGGAGGGGCAGGCGGAAUUCCUGGUGUAGCGGUGAAAUGCGUAGAUAUCAGGAGGAACACCGGUGGCGAAGGCGGCCUGCUGGACUGCAACUGACGUUGAGGCCCGAAAGCGUGGGGAGCAAACAGGAUUAGAUACCCUAGUAGUC
rnacentral:rRNA from 1 species